GAGUUUGAUCUUGGCUCAGAUUGAACGCUGGCGGCAUGCCUUACACAUGCAAGUCGAACGGCAGCACGGGAGCUUGCUCCUGGUGGCGAGUGGCGAACGGGUGAGUAAUGCAUCGGAACGUAUCCUGGAGUGGGGGAUAACGUAGCGAAAGUUACGCUAAUACCGCAUAUUCUGUGAGCAGGAAAGCGGGGGACCUUCGGGCCUCGCGCUCUUGGAGCGGCCGAUGUCGGAUUAGCUAGUUGGUGAGGUAAAGGCUCACCAAGGCGACGAUCCGUAGCAGGUCUGAGAGGAUGAUCUGCCACACUGGAACUGAGACACGGUCCAGACUCCUACGGAGGCAGCAGUGGGAUUUGGACAAUGGGGGCAACCCUGAUCCAGCCAUGCCGCGUGAGUGAAG
rnacentral:rRNA from 1 species